rnacentral:lncRNA from 1 species
UUCUUUUUAUCAUUUAUUUAUUUUUCUUUUCUUUUUUUCUUUUUUUUUUCUUUUACAACACAAUACAAAUACAAAUACAAAUAAAAAAUCAAAAUCAAAACAAAUAAAUAAAAAUUACAUUAAUUAAUUCAAAAUUUACACAAUAGUCCCUAAAACUCCAAAAAUUGCAGGGAAGGACUUCUGGGGACUGCGUGAACAGUGCCGGCGCGUGGAUCCACGCACCCCCGCCACUGGCGGCACGUGGGUCCACGCGCCGCUGCAAGAAAAACCCAACAGCAAGGGGCUGGAUCGACUCCCUCUUCUCAGCCUCCCAACACCGGCGGUGAGGACCGCCGUUACCUACAAUAACAGAAAAAGCACAACACAGUCGAUUUUAAUUUUUGUUUUUUUUCGUUUUACAGAGCUGCUUCGGUUUUUCUUCUUCUCGGUUUCGGUUCUAAAUUCUUUCCCCAGAUCGGUCUGUUAUGGGUUUCUUCUUCGUCUCCGGUGGUAGAUCGUCGUGGAGGAGGAGCUGUGGGUGGUCGAUUGAAGCAGGAACCCGGCGGCGGUGCUGAGGAGUUCGGGUCGGUGGCGAUGGAGAAACGAACUCCGCCCGUUCUCUGGUUGAGGGGAUGAUGGGGACUGCUCUGUGCUGGGAGAAGGAAAAAAAUCAGGGGAACAGGGGACGGCGGAUCUGUUUAGGCUGAGGUUUCGGGCAGCUGUUGAAGGAAAAAUCAAAAGUCCGGUGGGGGGGGGAGCUUGAGCUGCGGUGGAGAGGCAGCGGUGGAAGGGGCUGGUUCGGUUUGCUGCUGUUUGGGAGAGGUUGAGAGUCAGGGACGAGAGACAGAGGUGGAAGGGGCUGGUCCGGUGCUGAUGAGAGGAAGAUCGGCGUUGUGGGUGGUGCUGGUUUGGGGAAGAAAAGAAAAAUGAAAACGGUGAGGGGGCUGUUCGGUUUUGGAGGAGAAGGGAGAGGAUUUUUAUUUUUUUUGUGGCUUCGGGUCAGGGCUUGGAUUUGCUGGUUGAAGGGGAAGAAGAUGGAAAAAAUAAAAAUAAAAAUGGUGAAGAAGGGGAGUAGUGAAAACCGGCUGCUGAGGGGGGGAAGAAAAUCAAAGAGCUAAGGGGCUCUUUUGGGUGAGCGGCUGCAGGGGAGAAGAAGAAAAUCUCCAACGGGACUGGAGACUGUGGGUGCUGCCCCCUACUGCCGGGACCCGAAAAAAUGGCUCAAAUCUUUCCACCAGGUACAAGGCUGGGGAUGAGAAGAAAUAUGGGUUUUUUUCAUUAUGAGGAGGGCCACCCUGUCGGCGGGAAACAAAGAAAAGAGGACCAUGGGUGGG